GGCUUGCUUCAUAUAGACAAGGGAGAAAGUCUGUCUUACAGAGUGUGGGACAAAAUGAGAAAGCCUGCAGCUGAGGCUGCUGUCGAGGCUGUCCCAGGCUGCUCAGACUGAAUACACAGCCUGAUUCACACAGACACCUCUCAAAUGCAGGAUGCUGCAGGAGAAUCUGGCCUCAGCCUCUACUUCAUUAUGCCCUUACUGCUCUACAUGUCUUUGAAGGCCGAGGACCAUCGGACCGCCAUCUACUGCUGGGAUGAAAAGAACUACAGGUUAAAGAGUGAGCGGCCUCUAAAUGAGGAGCGACAAAGAGCCAAUCAGCGAUGAGGAAAACACAGGAAGUGAGGUAGACUUCACUCUUUUCUGCUUCAUCAAGAGGAGAGGAAAACAAGAUGAAGAACUGGAGUUUGUUGUGACUCAGCCAAACACAAACAAGCUAGCU